rnacentral:tRNA from 1 species
GUCGACUUACGGUCACUUUCCCUUGUCUAUCAAUAACUUAUUGAUUUACAAGGAAAUUUGUAAUCAUCAGGUGGCGGGUUCGAGUCCUGCAGCCGGCACCA